GAUGAACGCUGGCGGCGUGCCUCAAACAUGCAAGUCGAGCGGGGCUAUGUAAUAUCGCAAGGUAGAACAUAGCCUAGCGGCGAACGGGUGAGUAACACGUGGGUAACCUGCCUGGAAGACAGGGAUAACGAUUCGAAAGGGUCGCUAAUACCUGAUAAUAUCCUUUCAUCGCAUGGUGAUAGGAAGAAAGGGGAAACCCGCUUUCAGAUGGGCCCGCGUCCCAUCAGCUAGUUGGUAAGGUAAAGGCUUACCAAGGCGACGACGGGUAGCCGGUCUGAGAGGAUGUACGGCCACACUGGGACUGAGAUACGGCCCAGACUCCUACGGGAGGCAGCAGUUGGGAAUCUUAGGCAAUGGACGAAAGUCUGACCUAGCGACGCCGCGUGAGGGAAGAAGGCCUUCGGGUUGUAAACCUCUGUCAUGGGGGAAGAAGUAAGUGACGGUACCCCAAGAAGGAAGCCCCUGCUAACUACGUG
rnacentral:rRNA from 1 species